rnacentral:rRNA from 1 species
GAUGAACGCUAGCUACAGGCUUAACACAUGCAAGUCGAGGGGAAACGAUGAGAGAGCUUGCUCUCUUAGUCGUCGACCGGCGCACGGGUGAGUAACGCGUAUCCAACCUGCCUCUGACCAAGGGAUAACCCGUCGAAAGUCGGACUAAUACCUUAUGCAGUCGUCGGAAGUCAUCUGAUGACGACGAAAGAUUUCAUCGGUGAGAGAUGGGGAUGCGUCUGAUUAGCUUGUUGGCGGGGUAACGGCCCACCAAGGCGACGAUCGGUAGGGGUUCUGAGAGGAAGGUCCCCCACAUUGGAACUGAGACCCAGUCCAAACCCCUACGGGAGGCAGCAGUGAGGAAUAUUGGUCAAUGGGCGUAAGCCUGAACCAGCCAAGUAGCGUGCAGGAUGCCGGCCCUAUGGGUUGUAAACUGCUUUUAUGCGGGGAUAAAGUAAGGGACGUGUCCUUCAUUGAAGGUACCGCAUGAAUAAGGACCGGCUAAUUCCGUG